CGCUGAGACCGCCCUGGCCCUGCUCGGCUUCUUAAUCCCGCAGCACCAUCCGUGUACCACUGUCGCCUUGGGUUGCAUGCAGAUCCUCUGUCUCAGAUCAUUAACGAUUUGGAUUGUAUCCAGACUUUCCUGUCUCCUUACUUGGUGGUUUAGUGCUCCAACUCGCUCGUAAUGUUUCUGCUUCUGCUGCUUUUGCCACUACAUGGGCUAGACAAUUUCCAUUUCUGGGAGUCCAGGUCAUUCCCUUUUCAGCUAUCGCACCUGUUCCAGUAUCCUUUCUGAAGGUUGCAUCAACAUUUGCUUUCAACCAGCUCUUAGGGGGAGUCUCUAUUUCACCAGGUUAGUUUUGCUCCUAUUGGCUUCUGUUUUCUGUGACUGCUAUUUUUCUGCUAGUUUCCAGUAUGUUGCCUCUAGUGCUUUUGCCCUGCUAAUUGUCUAACUAGGGUUUACUUCCUCUUAUUGAAACAACUUACUGUUCCUUGUUUUCCGUAUCUCCCACAUGAGAAAUCCUAACUUGCUAAUUCUCUUCUCCUGGUCCUCUCCACCUCCUGCUCUCACCUUUCUUAUGCAUUCCACUAUCCAGUUUCCAAUUGAACUGACUGUCUUAACUGUUGGAGUCCAUUGACAUUCCGCUCCGAACCAUGUUGCCCUAGCCCAAUCGCAUAGCAGUAAUGCAUGUUCUACUGUCUCUAAAUUUUUUAGGCAUAUUUGACAAACUGGAUCAGGUGCCAUCUUUCUUUUAUGUAAGUUA